GUCCCAUUCCGAACCCGGCAGUUAAGUGCCGCCGCGCCAAUGGUACUGCGUCUCAAGACGUGGGAGAGUAGGUCGCCGCCAAAC
rfam:Maliponia aquimaris strain CECT 8898 genome assembly, contig: 0017